AAUAUAUAUAAUAAUAAUGAUUUGGCUUUAAAAAAAUUAUAUAUGUAAAGUGGAACUUAUCUCUAAAUUAUCAAAGAUAAUGAAGUACCAAAUAAAGAUUAUUUAGAAAGUUGUUUUAACUUUCUUUUGGCUAAAAUUUUUAAUACUUUGCUAAAAAUAAAAUCUAUAUCUUAAAUCUUAUAUAACUUUUAUUAAUAAUUUGGUUAUCUAAUGAAUAUCCAUAUUUUAUUUUUGGUACAUUUUAUAUACAUGUUGAUUUUAUUAAUUAAUUUUUAUUAUUUUAUGUGUUUUAUUUUUUUAUUAUAUUUUUUUAUUUAUUUUUUAUGUUGUAAAAAUAUACACUACUAAGUUGCACUCACAUUAUAUAGGUUCACACACUUAUGCACAUAUGCAAGCAAACAAAAAAAAUUUAUGCCCUUGAAUUACUCCUGCCUCCCUCCCUCUCUCCCUCCCUCUUCUUUCAUGAAAUCUAUAAGGAGUAGAAUUUGAAAAUAUUUUUG
rnacentral:lncRNA from 1 species